rnacentral:rRNA from 1 species
AGUGAACGCUGGCGGUAGGCCUAACACAUGCAAGUCGAACGGCAGCACAGUAAGGGUUGCUCUUACGGGGGGCGGGGGGCCGGCGGGGGGGGGAUACAACGGAAUCUACUUUUUUGUGGGGGGUAAAGGUGGGGAAAUUAACCUAAUACCCCCUAAGACCUACGGGGGGAAGCAAGGGAACUUUCGGCCUUUCGCGGUUUGAUUGGCCGGAUGUCGGAUUAGCUAGUUGGCGGGGUAAAGGCCCACCAAGGCGACGAUCCGUAGCUGGUCUGAGAGGAUGAUCAGCCACACUGGAACUGAGACACGGUCCAGACUCCUACGGGAGGCAGCAGUGGGGAAUAUUGGACAAUGGGCGCAAGCCUGAUCCAGCCAUACCGCGUGGGUGAAGAAGGCCUUCGGGUUGUAAAGCCCUUUUGUUGGGAAAGAAAAGCAGCAGGUUAAUACCCCGCUGUUCUGACGGUACCCAAAGAAUAAGCACCGGCUAACUUCGUG